GACGAACGCUGGCGGCGUGCUUAACACAUGCAAGUCGAGCGGAAAGGCCACUUCGGUGGUACUCGAGCGGCGAACGGGUGAGUAACACGUGAGUAAUCUGCCCCUGGCUUUGGGAUAGCCACCGGAAACGGUGAUUAAUACCGGAUACGACCACUUCUCGCAGUGGAUGGUGGUGGAAAGUUUUUUCGGCCAGGGGUGGGCCCGCGGCCUAUCAGCUUGAUGGUGAGGUAAUGGCUCACCAUGGCUUCGACGGGUAGCCGGCUUGAGAGGGUGACCGGUCACACUGGGACUGAGACACGGCCCAGACUCCUACGGGAGGCAGCAGUGGGGAAUAUUGGACAAUGGGCGGAAGCCUGAUCCAGCAACGCCGCGUGAGGGAUGACGGCCUUCGGGUUGUAAACCUCUUUCAGCAGGGACGAAGCGCAAGUGACGGUACCUGCAGAAGAAGCACCGGCCAACUACGUGCCAGCCGCCGCCGUAA
rnacentral:rRNA from 1 species